AAGACAGACGAUCGCGGCUGCAUGUGCCGGAAGGCCGCAGACGAGGAAAGUCCGGGCUUCACAGGGCAGGAUGCCGGAUAACGUCCGGUGGAGGCGACUCCAAGGCCAGUGCAACAGAAAUAAACCGCCGGGGCAGAAGCUUUUUUGGCUUUUGCCUCGGUAAGGGUGGAAAGGCAGUGUAAGAGACUACCGCCUCGCUGGUAACAGAGAGGGCACAUGUAAACCCCAUCCGAAGCAAGACCGGAUAGAAGCAGUGUGGCGGCCCGCCACGCUUCAGGUUGGUCGCUUGAGCGCAUCGGUGACGGUGCGCCUAGACAGAUGAUCGUCCACGACAUAACCCGGCUUACCGUCUUGCUUG
rnacentral:RNase_P_RNA from 1 species